rnacentral:tRNA from 1 species
GAGGGUACAGCUCAGUGGUAGAGGGCCUCCUAGCAUGCUGGAGGUCCUGGGUUCAAUCCUCAGUACCUUCA